rnacentral:rRNA from 1 species
UUCAGAGGACGUGAAACCGAUAGGAUGGAAGCAGAUGAAGUUGACGAACGAGUGUCGUAUUCAGGGUUGCAUCUUGUGUGCGGUCUGUUCUUGCGACCGAUGUGGGCUGGCGGCUUUGGUCAAUGCACUGUGUCAAGUUUCGAUGGAGACCCUGCGGAGGGAUAAUCGGUCGUUGCACGAUACGUGGUAUGGCUAAGGCUUAUCGCCGGUCUUGAAGUCAGCGCCUCAUCUGACCCGUCUUGAAACACGGACCAAGGAGUGUAGCGUUUGCGCAAGUCUUAGAGUGUGUCAAAACUUUGAGGCGUAACGAAAGUAAAUGUAGCUUCGAUCUACUGACUUGGGAUACGUUGUCUCGUGUGGACGGCGUUGGACCAUGGUUUUAUCGCGAUCGCUUGCGAUGCGGUGAAAAUAGAGCGUAAACGGUGCGACCCGAAAGAUGGUGAACUAUGCCUGAGCAGGAUGAAGCCGGAGGAAACUCUGGUGGAAGUCCGAAGCGGUUCUGACGUGCAAAUCGAUCGUCUGACUUGGGUAUAGGGGCGAAAGACUAAUCGAACCAUCUAGUAGCUGGUCCCCUUCCGAA